rfam:Gossypium hirsutum cultivar TM-1 unplaced genomic scaffold scaffold42.1, whole genome shotgun sequence
UAUUAAAAAAUUCAUCCAUUUUUAUUGUUUAAAAACCGGCAUGGUUGGUAGAAUCAAAUAGUUACACAUAGUGCGUCAUGUAUACCUCCUACUGACAUACAAAGACCAAUUUUUAACCGUACAAGUAGAUGGAUUUUUCAACA